AAUCCUAUUUCAAGGUUGUAACCUACUGUCGUCGAGUCGCUGAGCCUCCGCCUUUUGCCACUGCCUGGAGUGAUCCUCUCUUAUUCUUAUUCUUCUUCUUCUUCUUCUUUUUAGUUCAUUUUUUUAUGCCAUUGGAGAAUGAUUUGUGACCUGCUAUAGGUUUGAUUUACUUUGGAUUGAAGGAUCUCAAAGGCUCAUCCUCAUCUCCUAUCCUCGUCUUUUGUUUUCUGCUCAAUACUAUCUUUAAAUCUAGCUUCAACAUAAGUGGUCACAAAGUUAAGAAUAAGGAAUCAAUGUCAUGGUCGGACGAGAAUGAACACUCUUUUAUCGAAAUUCUUUACGAGCAAGUGAAAUCAAAUGCAUUGCAAUGUUCUGUAUUCACAAAAGACAAAUGGGGCAAGAGCAAUGAAAUCAUGAUAGCUUCGACAAAAAUGGAUUACGGCAUAGAUAGAUCAAAGGGAAAGUGGAACUGUUUAGGUAAGAUUCAUUGCAUAUUCUCUGAACUUUUGGGACAUACAGGUGUUACAUGGGAUCUAAAUACCAACAAAGUUAAUGCUGCAGAGGAAGUCUAGCAACACUUUUAUACAGUACAUAUAUUUAUUAAAGAAUAUUUUCGUCAUUAGUUUUUAUCUUAUCAAUUUUACAAUUUUUUGUUGAACAAUAUGAUAAGGUGGCUUCUUUUUUCAAUGGUAGAUAAACAAAUCGGAUUACAAGAUGUUCAAAAGGAAAGGAUAUAAGCACUACCACACUCUUUGGAAGAUAUUUAGCAAGACCACAGCUACUGGAGGAUUAGGCAAUGCCUCCACUCAACUUCCAAACACAUCAGAGAAAGAAAGACAAUUAGAAGAUAAUUUUUUGAACAGGGGGUACAUGUACGUUCGGAAAAUGAUGAUGAAUUUGAUGAGGUUUUAAAUACUCGUUGACGUGAUGAAAUUGGUACAUUGGAUGAACAUCGACGGAGGAAACCUAAGAUCAGUAAAUGAGGUUUAUAUGAAAGCAAUAAAGACUUUUAAGGAUCCCGAUUUUAGGGUGCCAUUUGUGAAUAUGCCAGAAGCAAGAAAAAGACCUAUCUUGGAACUAUUUUGACGUGACUGUUGUUUUCAUUUCUCUAGUGUUGUGUUGUUUUAAUUUGUGAUGUUGAAGGUUGAAGUACUGUGUUAUUUUCACAGCUUGAGGUACUUUUUUCUUUUCGUGGUGAUGCUAUACUGUUUUCAUUUACGAAUUUAGUGAUGUUGUUGGUUGGAGAACUGACGUUAAUUUUUCUUUAGUCCUUGAAUGCUCGUUUUAUUUGAAAGAAUGAUGAUUGAUAUGACUUAUGAUAA